CCAGAGGGCCGGGCGGCCGCGGCGUGGCGGGUAACUUCCACGGCGAGGAAAGUCCGGGCUCCACGAAAUGACGGUGCCGGUUAACGACCGGCUGGAGUGAUCCAAGGGACAGUGCAACAGAAAGCAGGUCGCGAAGGUUUCGGCCCCGCGAAAUUGAAAGGGUGCGGUAAGAGCGCACCGCGUCUGCGGCAACGCAAGGCGGCACGGUAAACCCCACCGGGAGCAAGACCGAAUAGGGGCGGCGCGCAGUUUCGACUGCUAGGUCUGUUUCGACCGAGAUCGCCCGGGUUGGUUGCUUGAGGAACGGAGCAAUCCGGUCCCUAGAGGAAUGGUCGCCUAUCCCCUUUAUCGGGGUGGACAGAACCCGGCUUACAGGCCCUCUGGCAUU
rnacentral:RNase_P_RNA from 3 species